UACGAUGAUGGAAAGAAGAAGAGAAAGCGGGGAACCACAAGGGAAGGGUGCAUGGCCAUGAUCGAGGUCAUCCGUAAAGAUCACGGUAAGUGGUUGGUCACUAAGCUGGAGACCGAGCAUACUCAUAUGGUUGCUUUGCCUGAUAAAGUCCGGCCACGUGCUGAUAGAUCUAUGAUCUCACCAAACUCAGCUCUAAAUUCUAGUGAGCCGAACGGGUUCAAUAAUUUGAAGAACUUCAACAGGGGGAUUAGGAUCAAUCCUUUUGGGGAAGGAGGUGAGGCUCAGGGUCUUCUGGAGUAUUUGAAGAGGAUGCAAGCUGAGAAUCCUGCAUUUUUCUAUGCCAUCCAAGUGGAUAAUAAUAAUGGCGUAACCAAUGUUUUCUGGGCUGAUGCCAAAUCCAGGAUGUCAUACCAAUACUUUGGUGAUGCUUUGACUUUUGAUACUACUUACAAAAAAACAAAAUACAUGAUGCCUUUCGCUACCUUCAGAGGAAUAAAUCAUCAUUUGCAGUUUGUAACAUUUGGCUGUGCCUUGCUAAUGGAUGAAACUAAGGGUUCUUAUGUUUGGCUUUUUGAAACUUGGCUUGCUGCCAUGGGUGGUCGUCAUCCCGUUUCCAUAUUUACUGACAGGGAUAAGGCCAUGGAAGGAGCUAUCUCAAGGAUAUUUCCGAAAACUCGCCAUUGUUUCUGCAAAUGGCACAUAUUAAGCAGAUGCAAACAUAAACUUUGUGAUUCAUAUAUAAAAUAUCCUAUGUUAAGAACCGAGUUAAAGGAGUGCAUCAAUGCCUCAGAAACAAUCGAGGAGUUUGAAACUCGUUGGGAGUACAUCCUCGAUAAAUAUAACCUGUGGGAUAAUGCAUGGCUGCAAUCGCUUUAUGAAAUUCGUCAUCGUUGGGCUUCAGUGUACCAGAAGGACUUGCUCUUUCCUGAAUUGUCAUCAUCGCAAAGACCAGAAAGUUUGAAUAAAUUCUUCAAGCGAAACUUCAAUACUAAAACCUCUUUACUGCUGUUUAUCUCAAAAUUUGAUCAAGCUAUGUCAUCUCAGUACGAGAAGGAAGCCCAGGAAGACCUCGCUACCAUAUACGUUAAGCCUCCUUUGAAGACACCAUCACCAAUCGAAAGACAGGCAGCGGAUAUCUACACAAAUGCUGUAUUCGAGAAGUUUCAGGAGGAAUUCGUCGAAUCAUUAGGGUAUUACGUCGAGAAAAUCGAGCACGGCUCUGUUAGCAAGUAUAAUGUGAUGAAGGAAGAUGAUAAUCGUAAGAGCUACAUCGUUAGUUUCAGUGAUUAUGAUAAAAUGACGAGUUGUAAUUGCUGCAAGUUUGAGCGUUGCGGCAUUCUAUGCAGGCAUAUUUUACGAGUUUUUUUCGUCGUUGGAGUGCGUGUUCUCCCUGAGGCCUAUGUUCUGAAGAGAUGGACAAGGAAUGCCCUGAAAAAUAUAGUUCUUGAAGAAAGAGUUACAGAACCUGGGCUUAGUUUCCAGGAGUAUUUAGUAGCUUGGUACAAUGAUCUUUGUCUUGAUGCUAUUAAAUUUGGAAUGGAAGGGGCUGUAUCCUCGGAGACAUAUAAGGUUGCUAAAUUAGCACUGCAGAAGUCUUUUAAUGAAGUUAUUGCUGCUAAGAACACUCAGAAGAAAGGGCAGCAGAAUCUGCAGAGAUUUGCGAGGUUACAGAAGAUGCAAUAUAAGGUUCCGUUGCCGAAGCUACAACCGAAGAAGGCCUUUGCCCCAAGGGUUACUCAACACAACGAAGAAGAUGGAAGCGGAAGAAAUGCAAAAGACAAUGCAUUAAGUUGUGGAAGAUGAGCAACAUCAGAUUUUCAAUUACCAAAAACAAAUCGACGAUAAUAAAGAAGAAGAAGAAGCAGUAACUGACAACGAACUGGCGGGGACACUCGAGGACAUGGACGGAAAGUCGGAAAGCUUAUCAUUCAUGGAAGAGGACGGCGAAGAAGAAGUUGGGGAGAUGGUAGAGUACACUGGUCCUGAAUCCAAACAGAAGAGUGUCUGUAAUGCAUUUAGAUUGAGGAAUUUGCUGAGGUCUGUUGGCUUGGCUGCUGCCACUUUCAGCAUCUUCAUAUUGCAGAAAUCAAUCCCCAAAAAUCAGAAAAUCGAGUUCAAAAUCUGCAAAAAUGAGAAAGCUAAGCAGCUGCUUCAGCAUCAGCAAGAAGUUUCAGAACCGUUGGCAGCUAAAGCUCGCUGUUUAUUUGGUGGGCGUUAUGAUGAGUGGUACUAAUGCAUCUGAUUGGGUCUCUAAAUAAGUAAUUUGAAUCCCAUUUUAAUUUGAGAGAUCAAAAUUAUGAAACUCAAGUGUAUGGUGAAUAAUAAAUGUUAGGUUUCAAUGGGAAUGUGGAAAUUAAAUGCAUUUAAU